UAUUUACCAUAAAGAGGACAAAUGUGGGUGGUCGGCGGAAAUCUGGAUGUCUUAACAGCCAGCCCUUUUUAAGAAAAACUGUUUAUACAUAAGCAAAUGUAAACAACACAACUUGAAACAUUACUUUGGCGUUAUUUGAUUGUAUGAUACUCUUCAAAAUGACGUUAAGUAGCUAGGUAGUUAAAUAUUUUGGCGUCCGGUGGCUUUCGAAAAGUAGAAACGCGUGGGAUAAAACAAUUGGUAUCUAGAUAGUACUUGAAAUAAUAUUCAGGAGUAGUAAGUAUCAGUAGAUUUUCCAAAUACAAGCAUUUCGCCAAGAGCUACUUAUUAAAAACGCGCUCGCGAAAAUUUAAUUUCUUGACAGUGGAACAUGGGAGUAAAUAUAUUUAUGUAAUUUGAAUUGAAAAAUGCUUGGUGAUUCG